rnacentral:rRNA from 1 species
UACGGGGGGAGCAAGCGUUGUUCGGAUUUACUGGGCGUAAAGGGCGCGUAGGCGGCGUGACAAGUCACUUGUGAAAUCUCCGGGCUUAACCCGGAGCGGCCAGGUGAUACUGUCGUGCUAGAGUGCGGAAGGGGCUACUGGAAUUCUCGGUGUAGCGGUGAAAUGCGUAGAUAUCGAGAGGAACACCUGCGGCGAAGGCGGGUAGCUGGGCCGACACUGACGCUGAGGCGCGAAAGCCAGGGGAGCGAACGGG